ensembl:snoRNA SNORA72 Small nucleolar RNA SNORA72
CCUCGAAUAUUCUCACUGUUCUGAUUUUGUAAUAAUCAGAGCAAGCUAAACAUUCCCUGUAUUAAGACCAUGCAUGUGUCCCCAGACUUAGUUCUUUCCCUAGGUCUGCUUUUAUCAGUGCUGGUGAUAGAC